rnacentral:rRNA from 1 species
UACGGAGGGUGCAAGCGUUAUCCGGAUUCACUGGGUUUAAAGGGUGCGUAGGUGGGUUGGUAAGUCCGUGGUGAAAUCUCCGAGCUUAACUCGGAAACUGCCGUGGAUACUAUCAAUCUUGAAUACUGUGGAGGUAAGCGGAAUAUGUCAUGUAGCGGUGAAAUGCUUAGAUAUGACAUAAAACACCGAUAGCGAAGGCAGCUUGCUACACAGUCAUUGACACUGAGGCACGAAAGCGUGGGGAGCAAACAGG